rnacentral:rRNA from 1 species
CCUACGGGAGGCAGCAGUGGGGAAUAUUGCACAAUGGGGGAAACCCUGAUGCAGCGACGCCGGGUGAGUGAGGAAGUAUUUCGGUAUGUAAAGCUCUAUCAGCAGGGAAGAAAAUGACGGUACCUGACUAAGAAGCCCCGGCUAACUACGUGACAGCAGCCGCGGUAAUACGUAGGGGGCAAGCGUUAUCCGGAUUUACUGGGAGGAAAGGGAGCGUAGACGGCUAAUCAAGUCAGAAGUGAAAACCCAGGGAUCAACCUUGGGACUGCUUUUGAAACUGAGUAGCUCGAGUGCAGGUGAGGUAAGCGGAAUUCCUAGUGUAGCGGUGAAAUGCGUAGAUAUUAGGAGGAACACCAGUGGCGAAGGCGGCUUACUGGACUGUAACUGACGUUGAGGCUCGAAAGCGUGGGGAGCAAACAGGAUUAGAUACCCGAGUAGUC